CCUACGGGAGGCAGCAGUGAGGAAUAUUGGUCAAUGGACGAGAGUCUGAACCAGCCAAGUAGCGUGAAGGAUGACUGCCCUAUGGGUUGUAAACUUCUUUUAUAUGGGAAUAAAAUGUUCCACGUGUGGGAUUUUGUAUGUACCAUAUGAAUAAGGAUCGGCUAACUACGUGCCAGCAGCCGCGGUAAUACGGAGGAUCCGAGCGUUAUCCGGAUUUAUUGGGUUUAAAGGGAGCGUAGGUGGAUUGUUAAGUCAGUUGUGAAAGUUUGCGGCUCAACCGUAAAAUUGCAGUUGAAACUGGCAGUCUUGAGUACAGUAGAGGUGGGCGGAAUUCGUGGUGUAGCGGUGAAAUGCUUAGAUAUCACGAAGAACUCCGAUUGCGAAGGCAGUUCACUGGACUGCAACUGACACUGAGGCUCGAAAGUGUGGGUAUCAAACAGGAUUAGAUACCCCUGUAGU
rnacentral:rRNA from 1 species